rnacentral:lncRNA from 1 species
UUUAUAUAUAUAUAUAUAUAUAUUUGAAGUGUUGCAAAGUUUAGUUUCUGUAAUUACAGAGAAGCUGCCUCUUUUCUUCACUGCAGAAACUGAGAUUGGUUCAUGUAUUCAUCUUCACAUUUUUAAAUUUGAAAAAUGUGGAAGUCUAACAUUUUUAAACACGCUGAUUGUGGGUUCUUGUCUCAAACACUCUUUCUCUGACGAUACAACAGAACACGAGGCAAAGGGGUGAAGCAACGACUGACAGGCAAGAAUAUCCUCGACUGUGACACCAGACUUCUCUGUCAGAAACCUCACCUGAUCCAGGGUAGGUCUCUGAAUUACAGCUUGUCUGAGACCCAUGUUUAUUUUUUGGAGGAGAAGGCAAUGCACAAUCAGAAAAAAAACCCCACCCCUUAAUAUUUUAGAGAUAAUGUUAUUCUCCUC